rnacentral:rRNA from 1 species
UAGGGAAUCUUCCACAAUGGACGCAAGUCUGACGGAGCAACGCCGCGUGAGUGAAGAAGGGUUUCGGCUCGUAAAGCUCUGUUGUUAAAGAAGAACGUGGGUAAGAGUAACUGUUUACCCAGUGACGGUAUUUAACCAGAAAGCCACGGCUAACUACGUGCCAG